AGGGGAGGUGUUUGUGCAUCUGGGGCACAAGGGCCCCUGGGCGGCGCCUCCUGCCCGGGGAGGGGCGGUCUGUGUGGGCUCCCGCAGGGUCCCCACAACGCCCAGCUGGGGUGGCCCGUCCACAUGGUCCACACACCUACCGAGCCGCCACGAUCUGAUACGGCGGCUGCUGGAGGAAGAACA